GAGCCGGUAGCUCAGUCGGUAGAGCAACGGACUUUUAAUCCGUAGGUCCUGGGUUCGAUCCCCAGCCGGCUCA
rnacentral:tRNA from 1 species